rnacentral:rRNA from 1 species
UUGGGCAGUUAUUGCGAACGGGUUAUGUCCUAUCCCAUUCAGAACUUGGAAGUUAAGCCUUUCAGCGCUAAUGGCACUUUGUCUUAAGACAACGAAGAAUAGGACAUUGCUAGGU